AUUGAACGCUGGCGGCAGGCCUAACACAUGCAAGUCGAGCGGAUGAAGGGAGCUUGCUCCUGGAUUCAGCGGCGGACGGGUGAGUAAUGCCUAGGAAUCUGCCUGGUAGUGGGGGAUAACGUCCGGAAACGGGCGCUAAUACCGCAUACGUCCUGAGGGAGAAAGUGGGGGAUCUUCGGACCUCACGCUAUCAGAUGAGCCUAGGUCGGAUUAGCUAGUUGGUGGGGUAAAGGCCUACCAAGGCGACGAUCCGUAACUGGUCUGAGAGGAUGAUCAGUCACACUGGAACUGAGACACGGUCCAGACUCCUACGGGAGGCAGCAGUGGGGAAUAUUGGACAAUGGGCGAAAGCCUGAUCCAGCCAUGCCGCGUGUGUCAAGAAGGUCUUCGGAUUGUAAAGCACUUUAAGUUGGGAGGAAGGGCAGUAAGUUAAUACCUUGCUGUUUUGGCGUUACCAACAGAAUAAGCACCGGCUAACUUCGUG
rnacentral:rRNA from 1 species